rnacentral:rRNA from 1 species
UACGGAGGGUGCAAACGUUGCUCGGAAUCAUUGGGCGUAAAGCGCACGUAGGCGGUCCGACAAGUCGGAUGUGAAAGCCCUCGGCUCAACCGGGGAAGUGCAUUCGAAACUGUCGAACUCGAGUAUGGAAGGGGGUCUCGGAAUUCCCGGUGUAGAGGUGAAAUUCGUAGAUAUCGGGAGGAACACCAGUGGCGAAGGCGGAGACCUGGGCCAAUACUGACGCUGAGGUGCGAAAGCGUGGGGAGCAAACAGG